CUCCGGUUGAUCCCGCCCGGACCUGACUGCUAUCGGAUUGGUACUAAGCCAUGCGAGUCAUUGUAGCAAUACAAGGCGGACGGCUCAGUAACACGUAGUCAACCUAACUCGUGGACGUGGAUAACCUCGGGAAACUGAGAAUAAACCACGAUAGAUCAUAGUGCCUGGAAUGGCUUAUGGUCCAAACAGUUUACUGCCAUGGGAUGGGACUGCGGCCUAUCAGCUUGUUGGUGAGGUAAUGGCCCACCAAGGCUAUAACAGGUACGGGCUCUGAGAGGAGAAGCCCGGAGAUGGGUACUGAGACACGGACCCAGGCCCUAUGGGGCGCAGCAGGCGAGAAACCUUAGCAAUGUGCGAAAGCACGACUAGGUUAAUCCGAGUGAUUUCUGUUGAAGAAAUCUUUUGUCAGUCGUAAAACCACAGACGAAUAAGGGGUGGGCAAGUCUGGUGUCAGCCGCCGCGGUAAUACCAGCACCUCGAGUGGUCAGGAGGUUUAUUGGGCCUAAAGCAUCCGUAGCCGGCUACGCAAGUCUCCGGUUAAAUCCAGCUGCUCAACAGAUGGGCUGCCGGAGAUACUACAUAGCUAGGGAGCGGGAGAGGUAGACGGUAUUCUGUGGGUAGGGGUAAAAUCCACUGAUCCAUAGAGGACCACCAGUGGCGAAGGCGGUCUACCAGAACGCGUUCGACGGUGAGGGAUGAAAGCUGGGGGAGCAAACCGGAUUAGAUACCCGGGUAGUCCCAGCUGUAAACGAUGCAAACUCGGUGAUGCAUUGGCUUAUGGCCAAUGCAGUGCCGCAGGGAAGCCGUUAAGUUUGCCGCCUGGGAAGUACGGACGCAAGUCUGAAACUUAAAGGAUUGGCGGGGGAGCA
rnacentral:rRNA from 1 species